GACGUAGGAGGCGAGCGUUGUCCGGAUUCAUUGGGCGUAAAGAGCGCGCAGGCGGCUUGGUAAGUCGGAUGUGAAAUCCCGAGGCUCAACCUCGGGUCUGCAUCCGAUACUGCCCGGCUAGAGGUAGGUAGGGGAGAUCGGAAUUCCUGGUGUAGCGGUGAAAUGACGCAGAUAUCAGGAAGAACACCCGUGGCGAAGGCGGCUCUCUGGGACGGUACUGACGCUGAGACGCGAAAGCGUGGGGAGCGAACAGG
rnacentral:rRNA from 1 species